AUCCUCACUUCGGUAGGACAUAUACUAAAAUUGGAAUAAUACAGAGAAGAUUAGCAUGACCCCCGUGUAGGAAAGACACACAAAUUUGUGAAGCCAAAAAAAAAAGG